rnacentral:rRNA from 1 species
GAUGAACGCUGGCGGCGUGCCUAAUACAUGCAAGUCGAGCGAACAGACGAGGAGCUUGCUCCUCUGACGUUAGCGGCGGACGGGUGAGUAACACGUGGAUAACCUACCUAUAAGACUGGGAUAACUUCGGGAAACCGGAGCUAAUACCGGAUAAUAUAUUGAACCGCAUGGUUCAAUAGUGAAAGACAGUUUUGCUGUCACUUAUAGAUGGAUCCGCGCCUCAUUAGCUAGUUGGUAAGGUAACGGCUUACCAAGGCAACGUUUCGUAGCCGACCUGAGAGGGUGAUCGGCCAACUUGGAACUAGACAACGGUCCAGACUCCUACGGGAGGCAGCAGUAGGGAAUCUUCCGCAAUGGGCGAAAGCCUGACGGAGCAACGCCCCGUGAGGGAUGAAGUUCUUCGGAUGGUAAGACUCUGUUAUAAGGGAAGAACAAAUGUGUAAGUAACUAUGCACGUCUUGACGGUACCUAAUCAGAAAGCCACGGCUAACUACGUG